GUGUGUGUGUGUGUGUGUGUGUGUACGUGCAUGUGCAUAGGCAUUCCAAGAGGAAUGCAAAAUGAUGAUUCGUGAAGAAAUCGAUGAGAGACGUCUGCAGUGGGCACCACGCCCAAAGCGAGGGAGCUCCGCGACAAAAUUUAGGGAUUUAUAAAGCAACUCCUAUAAUGUUGUAUCAAAAAUGAUAUAAGAAGAUAAAGCAGCUUCAUCUUGACUCAUAUGUUUAUAAAUGACUCAAUUUAAUCUGAUAAAUUUAUCUAGUUUUCAAAAGGACAUCACAUUGCUCUUUUCCAAUGGAAAGUACUCUAUAUAAAUUAUAAUCAUCAUGGCGUAAAAUUUUGGGAACAUUAUUUAUUGAAAAAUCGUAUUUUGUACUUUAAAAUAGAUAUCGCAGUGAUGCGCUGUCUUUUUAAUGCUCUUUUAUAAUUUCUGUUCUUUUAAUCAAUACUAAUACUAAAAAAGACAUC